CUGUUUGCGGACGUGUUUUUCGGUGUUUUACGUGCAACGAGGCUAGAGCGUGUGCGCGCGUUACUAAUUUGUUGUUUUUGAGGCAGGCCCGCUUGCUUGCCGUCUACACUUGAAGUUAGCAUAUGAGCGUAGUAACAGCCAGCAGCUAGACGACUACAGGUCUUCAAAGGUGUAAAACAACAACAACAAAACCAAAACUAACAAAGUGAAAAUUCGAAAUACUAACAGCGAGCCGAAAUAUUAACGCAGCACGACAAAAUAAACGAACUAAUGAAGUGUGUUAAAAGCGGAAUGAAGCGUGUUUUGGUAGUGAAAUAGUGAAAACAACAACAAAUAAGUGCGUUAGAAGAAAUCUUGUGCUAAAAUGUGCGGCCAAAGUGUUGACAGCGUUCGAAAUUGAUUGAAAAUUGUUGAAAGCGCAAAUAGAGAAAUAGCACACACAAAAAAAUAUUUUGUUUUAAACAAAA